UUUUAAAACACUAAAAAGUAACCAGCCACCUGGGACUAAACCUUCGGAGCAGAGUGCUGAAGAAAACGUGGCUUUGCCAGAUGGACAAAGAGGAGGGCCAGUACUCCAGACACUGAAAACCAUGUUUUCGUGUUGGCAUUCAUUCUUUUUUCCAGCAAUCUUAACUUUUUUGACAAACCACAUGAAUUGUAGAGGAGAGAAAUGAAGGUGUCUGAAUUGGAGAAUGGAGUGGGAGGAAGCAUUUAAAACGACUGUUACUUGCAACUGUGCUGUUGGAGCAAGAGAAAACCUGGAAGAAUUCUGAAAUAGCUCUGCUAGUUCUCCUCAUUGCACAACAGUAUGACUGCUACAGAGACAGCAAACAGAGAAAGGGGAGAAUGGGUUGCAAUCAGAUGCAGCCUUUUGGCUCAGGCUCAGCUCCAUCAAUUGUGGCCUGAAGAAAAGAUCUGCCAUCAUAGGCUUCCCAGCUCCAACCCGGGCCAGCCACCAAAGUUACUGCUCCUCCUAAAGUUCUGUCAAGCACUUAAAGAGCUAACACAGCAUUUGAAAAUUCAUGGUCCGCAACAUCUUCAACUAAGAUCUGACAGAAGCCAUGGCAGUAGACCUGGAGUUGAUUAUAUCUAGGGAAUGAUAUGGCUCACACUAAUAACUUUGCCCUACCUUGAUAAAGACACAAGUGGUGCUAACUGUCCUGAUAUACAUGCCUGUAAGAAGAUAUAACUAAAGGGCUUUAGCCAUAUGCAGAGCUUACUGCACCAGCCUCAAUCUAAAAUUAUAUAUAGUGAUUAUUUCAGCCUUGAAAAAGGAAACCCUGCCAUUUGUGACAAUAUGAAUGAAUCCAGAAGACAUUAAGUGAAACAAGUCAGACACUGCAAGACAAAUACUGCACGAAUUUGCUUGGAUGUAGACUCUAAAAAUUAAACUCAUAGAAACAGAAUAGAAGGGUCCUAGGGGUGAGGGGAGUAAAGAAUAAGGAGAUGUUGGUUAAAGGGUAUAAAUACAUAGUCACAAAAUGAGUAAGUUCUGGAGACCUAAUGUACAGCUUUAUUACUAUACUUAAUAACGUACACUUGAAGUUUGCUGAAAGUAUAUCUUUUUUUUUUAAAUGGAGUCUUGCUCUGUCACCCAGGCUGGAGUGCAGUGGCAUGAUCUUGGCUCACUGCAACCUCUGCCUCCUGGGUUCAAAGGGAUUCUCCUGCCUCAGCCUCCCAAGUAGCUGGGAUCACCGGCGUGCGCCACCAUGCCCAGCUAUUUUUUUUAAGUAGAGAUGGGGUUUUGCCAUGUUGGCCAGGCUUGUCUAGAACUCCUGACCUCAGGUGAUCUGCCCAUUUCGGCUUCCCAAAGUGCAGAGAUUACAGGUGUGAGCCACCUUGCCAGGCAGAUCUUAUGUAUUCUUAUCACAAAAAGAUAACAAUGUAAUAAAUACAUUAAUUCGCUUGAAUGCAGUCAUCAUUCAUUUCACAAUGUGUAUGUAUUUCAAAAUAUCAUUCUGCAUAUCUUGAUUAUAAUUUUUAUUUGGUUAUCUCAAAAAAAUGAAAAAUAUUUUUAAAAUACUCAUCUAUAGUGUGGUUCAUCUAUCCCAUCUCCAUUGUCAGUAGUAGUAUAGAAAAUAUUCUGCAAACCCCAAUUACUACGGCCCAGCUCACGUUUCCUGCUUCUUUCAUCCAACAGUAGAGAAUUUCUGACUGCAGAAUUUACUGGCCAGCUUACACUAAUGAUUCAAUAAGAUCAUAGAAACAAGGAUCUCCAACACAGAGGCAAUCCCAGUGGUGUCUAAUAUGUGUUUGCAACGUAUCUAGUUUUUCACACAUUGCUAUUUUAGAUCAUUUUCUCUUUAGCCAAAUGGAAGAAAUUAAUGAAAGAAAGUAAAUGUGGGUUGGAAACCCUAUCUCUUUCAACCUCAAAGAGGUUUUCAUAGGAUCUUUCAUCUUCUUGAGACAAUACUAUCUUCCAUUCUUUCCUUUCUUCCUGCCAAAGAUGACUUGGAGAUCUGGCUAGAUUUUGAUGACUUCAGUCUAUUAGAACAGGUAAGGGAAAUAAUGUUAAGAAAACAUUUACAUUUGGAGUAUGGUAAAUCACACUGCGGAAGCUAAGACCCUGAUGUUUACCUAGGUAAUUACUUUAUGGCAUCAAAGAAAACCAAGACCUUUUGUCCCAAAGUAUGUUGAGUCGUUGCCUCUGUGUACCUGGGUGUAGUAAUGUUCUGUCCUAUAAGUGGCUUUGAUGGGUUCCUGUGUUAGCACUGUUCACACUCACUCUGAAUGGCAGGCACACACUUAUCAUAUGACUUACCAUUAUUCAUUCUAAUGAUAUGCUACUGUCUAAGGCAGUCCUUAUUCCCUCCAAAUGUGGAGAUGUACAGUAGCUCAAAUUCAGCCACAGAAUUUUCCAAAAUCUGCUAAUUAGCUUCAGCCUUGGCCUUCAGAAGGCCAAUCAAAUGCAAACUUCAGCAUCACUUCUGGAAUUCCUAAAUUUGCAGCUUAUCAAUUUUCUUGUGAAUGUUUGGUUGUCAUCAUAGCUACUCUGCCUAACAACAUCUAAUCACUUCUUGCUUGCAUUCUUUAUAGCUUUCAUUAUAUCCGGAUCAGUGAUGAUUUUCAUUGCUGUUGUACAUAAAGAUUUUUUCUCCUUUUAAAUCUUGAAUUGACAUUCUGCUUUGAAUUGUUCCUCACAAAUUCGAAUAAUUCUUUAAAAGGAUUUUUUGAAAUGCUUAAGCCUUAAAUAAAAACAAAUAAAAAUUAAAAUUUUUAAAGGUUAUUUUGUUUUCAUUUUUAGUGUUAACUCACUAAAAAAUUCACAAAGUUUAGAAUUAUAUCUACUCUCUAUUGUAAUGCAUUUCUAUAAACAUAUGUCUAACUGCAUAUAGUAUUCUUUCUAAAGGCAUUGAGUUAAAAUACUCUUCGUAUUUUAAUAACUGUCAAUCUGUUUCCCUAUUUAGCCAUUUAAGAAUUCUCACUGGCCGGUCACGGUGGCUCACACCCGUAAUCCCAGCACUUUGGGAGGCUGAGGCAGGCAGAUCACGAGGUCAGGAGAUAGAGACCAUCAUGGCUAACACGGUGAAACCCCGUCUCUACUAAAAAAUACAAAAAACUAGCCAGGCGAACGAUGGCGGGCACCUGUAGUCCCAGCUACUCAGGAGGCUGAGGCAGGAGAAUGGCGUGAACCCGAGAGGUGGAGCUUGCAGUGAGCCAAGAUCGCGCCACUGCACUCCAGCCUGGGCAACAGAGCGAGACUCCAUCUCAAAAAAAAAAAAAAAAGAAAAAAGAAAAGAAAAAAAUCUCACUUAUUCUGUAUAAAACAACUUAAAUUCAUCUUUAAUUAUUACUCAUUUGUCUUCAAACGUCUGAUAAUAUUUGACAUACAAAGCACAUGAAGAUAUUAUGUUGCUCUGGGUCAUAUUUAAUGUACAUACCUAUAUUUGAAAAUAAAUACACUAAAAACUAC
rnacentral:lncRNA from 10 species